GGGAGUGGAGAGUAAGAAGGCAGGUCCCCGGAUUGACAAAACAAUCUGGGAGAAGUGCAUGCGUGCUUUGCACGUCCGGCGGAGCGGGAGAGCCCGCUCAACAGCCUAGCGGUAGACUCGGGGAUAGUUGGAGGAAGAUCGUGUGCGCUCUGACCCUCUGUUGCUCAAGCAUCAAAUUGAAGGACGAGCCAUAUUAAGUGUAAAGGUUUAUAAUAAUUUAAGUAUUCAUAGAAUGCAGAACAAUAAGAUGUAGGAAAUACAAUUUGCAUAAUAAAUAUCAAUAUCACAACAGCUAAAACAAACCAUGACAAAUUAUCUGUGGCUAAAUGACCAAGAGAUUACUGAAUG
rnacentral:lncRNA from 1 species